CAUAUCAAUAAGCGGAGGAAAAGAAACCAACAGGGAUUACCUUAGUAACGGCGAGUGAAGCGGUAAUAGCUCAAAUUUGAAAUCUUACUCUUUCAGAGUACGAAUUGUAAUUUGUAGAGGAUGUUUUUGAGUAAUAUCAAUCUAAGUUUCUUGGAACAGAACGUCAUAGAGGGUGAGAAUCCCGUAUGUGAUUGAUUAAUUCUCUAUACAAAACUCCUUCGAAGAGUCGAGUUGUUUGGGAAUGCAGCUCUAAAUGGGAGGUAAAUUUCUUCUAAAGCUAAAUAUUUGCCAGAGACCGAUAGCGCACAAGUAGAGUGAUCGAAAGAUGAAAAGCACUUUGAAAAGAGAGUUAAAAAGCACGUGAAAUUGUUGAAAGGGAAGCGUUUGAGAUUAGACUUGUCGACAGUAUUCGCUUGGUUCUUGAACUGAGUUAUUUGCUGUUUACAGGCCAACAUCAUUUUCGUCUAUCGGAUAAUUGCUUAAGAAUGUAGCUCCUCGGAGUAUUAUAGCUUAAGUCGAUACGAUAAGAUGGGAGUGAGGUCCGCGAGAAAUCUAGGAUGUUGGCGUAAUGAUCUUAAACGGCCCGUCUUGAAACACGGACCAAGGAGUCGAUCAAUUAUGCGAGUUUUCGGGUGUCAAACCCUUAAGCGUAAUGAAAGUGAACGGAGGUGAGAGCUUAGGCGCAUCAUCGACCGAUCCUGAUGUCUUCGGAUGGAUUUGAGUAAGAGCAUAAUUGAUCGGACCCGAAAGAUGGUGAACUAUGCGUGAAUAGGGUGAAGCCAGAGGAAACUCUGGUGGAGGCUCGCAGCGGUUCUGACGUGCAAAUCGAUCGUCAAAUUUGCGUAUAGGGGCGAAAGACUAAUCGAACCAUCUA
rnacentral:rRNA from 1 species